rnacentral:rRNA from 1 species
UGGUGGGGUAACGGCCCACCAAGCCUAAGAUCCGUACGGGCCAUGGGAGUGGGAGCCCGGAGAUGGACCCUGAGACAAGGGUCCAGGCCCUACGGGGCGCAGCAGGCGCGAAACCUCCGCAAUGCGGGAAACCGCGACGGGGUCAGCCGGAGUGCCGAUGCUUGCAUCGGCUGUCGGGGAGCCUAAAAAGCUCCCCAUAGCAAGGGCCGGGCAAGGCCGGUGGCAGCCGCCGCGGUAAUACCGGCGGCCCGAGUGGCGGCCACUAUUAUUGGGCUUAAAGCGUCCGUAGCCGGGUUGGUUAGUCUCCCGGGAAAUCUGGCCGCUUAACGGUCAGAAUUCCGGGAGAUACUGCCAGCCUAGGGACCGGGAGAGGCCGAGGGUAUUCCCGGAGUAGGGGUGAAAUCCUAUAAUCCCGGGAGGACCACCUGUGGCGAAGGCGCUCGGCUGGAACGGGUCCGACGGUGAGGGACGAAGGCCAGGGGAGCAAACCGGAUUGGAU